rnacentral:rRNA from 1 species
CAUGUCCUUUAGAUUUAAAUUUAAGGUCUGGUCUGCUCAAUGAUUAUUAAAUAGCCGCGGUAUCUUGACCGUGCGAAGGUAGCAUAAUAAUUAGUUUCUUUAUUGGGAGCUGGAAUGAAUGAUUGGACGAAGGAUUAGCUGUCUCUUUGGAAUUUUUUUUGAAUUUAACUUUUAAGUUAAAAGGCUUAAAUUUCUUUUAAAGACGAGAAGACCCUAUAGAGUUUAACAUGUCUAUUGAUUAUAGUUUUUUGGUAUCAGUUUUCUUUUAUUAAUAUUUUGUUUGGUUGGGGUGAUAGGAAGAUUAAUUAAACUCUUCUAUGAAUUUGUUACUGAUAAGUAAAUUUUAUUUCUAUAUUUUUAAGUUUAAAUUAAAUUACCUUAGGGAUAACAGCGUUAUUCCUCUUUAGAGUUCUUAUUGGGAGAGGAGUUUGCGACCUCGAUGUUGGAUUAAAAUUUACGUUGGGCGCAGUAGCUUACGCGAUUGAGUCUGUUCGACUCAUAAAAUUUUACAUGAUCUGAGU